GCUCAGAACGAACGCUGGCGGCACGCUUAACACAUGCAAGUCGCACGAGAGGUGGUAGCAAUAUCAUAGUAAAGUGGCGCACGGGUGAGUAACACGUAAAUGAUCUGGCCUAGAGAUGCGGACAACCAUUCGAAAGGAUGGCUAAUUCGCAAUACGCUUUAUGAGUUGUAAAGACUGAUAAAGGAAGCAGCCCUCUGACAUAAGGUUGCGCUCUUGGGAGAGUUUGCGGCCCAUCAGCUAGUUGGUAGUGUAAGAGACUACCAAGGCGAAGACGGGUAGCUGGUCUGAGAGGACGAUCAGCCACACUGGGACUGAGACACGGCCCAGACUCCUACGGGAGGCAGCAGUGGGGAAUAUUGGACAAUGGGGGGAAACCCUGAUCCAGCGAUGCCGCGUGAAGGAAGAAGGCCUUUGGGUUGUAAACUUCUGUCGUGAUGGGGAG
rnacentral:rRNA from 1 species